rfam:Haemonchus placei strain MHpl1 genome assembly, scaffold: HPLM_scaffold0001457
GGCGCGAGCUUGAAGUAGAGUAGAUCAGAAGGGUCAUCUGACUCUACCAAACUACUCUACUUCGAGAUUGUGCCC